ensembl:misc_RNA Metazoa_SRP Metazoan signal recognition particle RNA
GCUGGGCAUGGUGGCUCAUGCCUGUAAUCCCAGCACUUUGGGAGGCUGAGGUGAGUGGAUCACCUGAGGUCAGGAGUUCGAGACCAGCCUGGCCAACAUGGUGAAACCCCAUCUCUA